rnacentral:sRNA from 1 species
CGCUGGCUGUAUAGAAGCUGCUGGUGCUGCUGCAACUCCCGUUCGAUCUGUUGCAGCAGCAGUUGUUGCUGCAGCUGCUGGAUUUGCAGUUGAUGCUGCUGCUGGGCUAGCAAUUGCUGCUGCACUAUCUGCUGGUGUUGCUGCUGCGCUUGUUGCUGCUGUUGGCCACUAAUUGGCACCGGUCU